UACGGAGGGGACUAGCGUUGUUCGGAAUUACUGGGCGUAAAGCGCACGUAGGCGGAUUUGUAAGUCAGGGGUGAAAUCCUGGAGCUCAACUCCAGAACUGCCUUUGAUACUGAGGAUCUUGAGUUCGGGAGAGGUGAGUGGAACUGCGAGUGUAGAGGUGAAAUUCGUAGAUAUUCGCAAGAACACCAGUGGCGAAGGCGGCUCACUGGCCCGAUACUGACGCUGAGGCACGAAAGCGUGGGGAGCAAACAGGG
rnacentral:rRNA from 1 species